UCUUAGUUGAAUAAAAAAUUGCCAAACUAAUGAAGUUUCUGAACGUUUAGGAGGUUGUCUACUAAAAGUGGGAGUUUGUACGGGUGGGUAUUCCGGUUCAUUAGUAGCAGGACUAGUAGGUGUAUCAUCUCAAUCUACCGGAGCUUGGGUUUCGUCAUCAUCAUCAUCCUCAUUUCCCUCUAAUAUUGGUUCAUUAGGAUAAAGCAUAUUCAUAAUAUCAUCAUCUAUUCUAUCACCGACUGCUACAUCAUGUANN
rnacentral:lncRNA from 1 species